rnacentral:rRNA from 1 species
GUGCCAGCAGCCGCGGUAAUACGUAGGGUGCGAGCGUUGUCCGGAAUUACUGGGCGUAAAGAGCUCGUAGGUGGUUUGUCGCGUUGUUCGUGAAAACUCACAGCUUAACUGUGGGCGUGCGGGCGAUACGGGCAGACUAGAGUACUGCAGGGGAGACUGGAAUUCCUGGUGUAGCGGUGGAAUGCGCAGAUAUCAGGAGGAACACCGGUGGCGAAGGCGGGUCUCUGGGCAGUAACUGACGCUGAGGAGCGAAAGCGUGGGGAGCGAACAGGAUUAGAUACCCUGGUAGUCCACGCCGUAAACGGUGGGUACUAGGUGUGGGUUCCUUCCUUGGGAUCCGUGCCGUAGCUAACGCAUUAAGUACCCCGCCUGGGGAGUACGGCCGCAAGGCUAAAACUCAAAGGAAUUGACGGGGGCCCGCACAAGCGGCGGAGCAUGUGGAUUAAUUCGAUGCAACGCGAAGAACCUUACCUGGGUUUGACAUGACGGACGCC